UUUUGGUUAAAAGGAGAUUUUUACAAAGUCCAGAAACUUUAGCUACAUUAAAGCAAAGCUACUGAUUUGAAGGUGGUAAGGGAGGAAAGGCUAAGAAGAAUUGUCUGAAUUUCUUAGCAUUAUCUGAUCAUUUAGCAAACCAGUGAUCACACUAAUAUUAUACUGUCUGCCAAAUCUCUUGGUUUGUUAUCACAACUUUUUUCCUGAUCAAUCACAUACCUAGAUUUUUCAUUUGUUGUUUGUGAUGGUUUAUUCAAAGAUAUUUCACAGAGGUAACCCUGCUCAAUAAAUACAUAGUUACUAU
rnacentral:lncRNA from 1 species